AACGCGAAGAACCUUACCUGGGCUCGAACGGCUUAAGAUCAACUUUGGAAACAGAGUCUUCUCGCAAGAGACUUGAGUCGAGGUGCUGCAUGGCUGUCGUCAGCUCGUGUCGUGAGAUGUUGGGUUAAGUCCCGCAACGAGCGCAACCCUUGUCCUGUGUUGCCACUCCCGUAAGGGAAGCACUCUCAGGAGACCGCCAGCGAUAAGUUGGAGGAAGGUGGGGAUGAUGUCAAGUCAUCAUGGCCUUUAUGUCCAGGGCUACACACGUGCUACAAUGGCCGGUACAAACCGCUGCAAACCCGCGAGGGGGAGCUAAUCGGAAAAAACCGGUCUCAGUUCGGAUCGCAGGCUGCAACUCGCCUGCGUGAAGCUGGAAUCGCUAGUAAUGGCGUAUCAGAACGAUGCCGUGAAUACGUUCCCGGGCCUUGUACACACCGCUACAGU
rnacentral:rRNA from 1 species